UCCGUUAUGGUGUAGUGGCUAACAUUAUCGCCUCUCACUAAUCAUCUUCAUACAGUUCAGAGAAGCGCGAUAGCCCAGGGUUCGAUUCCCUUUAACGGAA